AUUGAACGCUAGCGGGAUGCUUUACACAUGCAAGUCGAACGUGUGGCGGACGUGUGUGUCAUGUAUCUGAACGUGCCCAGUAGCGGGGGAUAACUACUCGAAAGAGUGCUUAAUACCCCAUACUAUUGGAGUGGCCGAUAUCGGAUUAGCUAGUUGUUGGGGUAAAGGCUCACCAAGGCCACGAUACGUAGCCGGUUUGAGAGGAUGACCAGCCACACUGGGACUGAGACACGGGCCAGACUCCUACGGGAGGCAGCAGUGGGGAAUUUUGGACAAUGGGGGAAACCCUGAUCCAGCCAUCCCGCGUGUAUGAGAAGGCCUUCGGGUUGUAAAGUACUUUUGGCGGGGAAGCGGUAUCUGCAGAAUAAGCACCGGCUAACUACGUGCCAGCAGCCGCGGUAAUAC
rnacentral:rRNA from 1 species